rnacentral:snoRNA from 1 species
UCCUCUGUUGAUGAUUCAAAUAAAAACUUUCGUUCUUCCGAGGAUGAUAUCCGUCUAUGCGGAAACGAUUAUUGGAGACCUGAACUGAAGAGGC